rnacentral:rRNA from 1 species
UGUNGNCGUACGAGCGCACCCCUAUCCUUAUUUGCCAGCGCAUAAUGGCGGGAACUAUAAGGAGACUGCCGGUCAUAAACCGGAGGAAGGCGGGGACGAUGUCAAGUCAUCAUGGCCCUUAUGGGUAGGGCUACACACGUGCUACAAUGGGUGGUACAGAGGGUUGCGAAAGCGUGAGCUGGAGCCAAACCCUUAAACCCAUUCUUAGUCCGGAUUGGAGUCUGCAACUCGACUCCAUGAAGUCGGAAUCGCUAGUAAUCGCGAAUCAGAAUGUCGCGGUGAAUACGUUCUCGGGCCUUGUACACACCGCCCGUCACGUCAUGGAAGUGGGUUGCACCAGAAGUGGUUUGUUUAACCUUCGGGAGAACGGUCACCACGGUGUGAUUCACAACUGGGACGAAGUCGUAACAAGGUAGCCCUAGGGGAACCUGGGGCUGGAUCACCUCCUU